GACGAACGCUGGCGGCGUGCUUAACACAUGCAAGUCGAACGGAAAGGCCCUGCUUUUGUGGGGUGCUCGAGUGGCGAACGGGUGAGUAACACGUGAGUAACCUGCCCUUGACUUUGGGAUAACUUCAGGAAACUGGGGCUAAUACCGGAUAGGAGCUCCUGCUGCAUGGUGGGGGUUGGAAAGUUUCGGCGGUUGGGGAUGGACUCGCGGCUUACCAGCUUGUUGGUGGGGUAGUGGCUUACCAAGGCUUUGACGGAUAGCCGGCCUGAGAGGGUGACCGGCCACAUUGGGACUGAGAUACGGCCCAGACUCCUACGGGAGGCAGCAGUGGGGAAUAUUGCACAAUGGGCGGAAGCCUGAUGCAGCAACGCCGCGUGCGGGAUGACGGCCUUCGGGUUGUAAACCGCUUUCGCCUGUGACGAAGCGUGAGUGACGGUAAUGGGUAAAGAAGCACCGGCUAACUACGUG
rnacentral:rRNA from 1 species